UUAGAAAAACUAGUCGCCAAUUUAAAAUAUUUUCGGAGUGUUUGAAUGAUAUCUUCAAAGCUAAUCCCACUCUCAAAUUCAGCGAAAUGAACAAUACAGAUAAGGAAGAUGAAGAGGGUGGAAAACCCACACAGCGGAAUGGAGCUGUCCAUGCCGCGGGAGUGACAGGGGAGCGCUCAGAGGUAAGGCGCUCUGCAGAGAAAGUCACUCUGGCUCUUCUCUCUCGGUCCACCAGCCAGCGACGCUUCUUCUGUAAAAGCAUUCCUAGAAAAUAACCCUACAACCGGGAAGGGUAGCGAUCUUUGAGCGCAGUUUCCAGGAGCUGGUCCCCGCAGCAGGGAGAGGCCCCUCUCCCCCCGCGGCUGGCGCGGAAUGUGGCGAUCCGGCCCGGCGCGGGGGAUGACUUCCUGCGGCCGGAGCUCGGCGGCGGGAGCGGCGGGAGCAGCUGCUGCAGCUGGCAGGUGGGGUGGGGGCCGGCCGAACUGACCAAGCACAGACCCGGCGCGGCGGCACUGCGGCCCCGGGGCAGCCGGCGCGGGGACAUGCGCUGAUUCGAUCCCUCCGGAGAAGGCUCCGGACGUGCAGGCUCAGCAGCCAUGGCUCAUGGGCCCAGCCCACUCUGCGGCAUGUGGGAUCCUCCCGGACCGGGGCACGAACCCGCAUCCCCUGCAUCGGCAGGCGGACUCUCAACCACUGCGCCACCAGGGAAGCCCAGAUCUUCAUUUUUUUAAGGACCUAAACUGGGAGCUCUUCAUUAGCGCUGGCACAAAGGCUGCUGAGAUGAAUAGGAAGCAAGUGCCAAGGAGGAUAGUGAAUCAAAGAACCUUGAUUCAUGGAAAAGGAAUCCCAGAAGGAGCUCUAAACGUUACACAUUCCAAAGGAUUUAUUCAGGGUUUUCCAAUCAAAAUCAUUUUUACAAAAAAGAAACAGUUCUCAGACUUCGAGUAGUAUACUGCCAAGUAUGUGGAAGAACAUUGCCAGCAGUUGAGUGGUGUGGUCUGCUUUGAAAUAUAUUCAGUUUGCUUAGGAUGGACAUAUGUCUACUUCAAAGUUACUAUUUCUUUCUAGUAAUGCUGUCUACAGUACUGUAUUUGCUUUUGGCAAGUUAAGAAAACAAUGACAUCCCUCCCAGGUUCUAAAACAAUUACCAGCAUAAAAAUACAUUAAACUUUUUAGCUGAUACUUAAGGAAACCAGUACUAGCUAGCAUUCCUACUGAUGCUAGUAUUCAAAGAGAGGCGUGACAUAACCAUUAAUCUAGAAAACACCAGGUUGGAAAGAUGGAGAGAAAGAACUCAAGAGGACUACUUAAGCUGUUGCUUUCUUUACAUGUCCCCAAAUAUGAUAAUAACCAUAUAAGCUCCUAAAAUAAGUGCAAUUUUAUGCAAACUUCAUAGUCUGCCUAGUAUGAGGUAAAUUUGUACUUUAUUUUAUAGUAUAUUUUUAUUUUUUAUUUUGGUAAAAUGUCCCAUAAUGUAAAAUUUACCAUUUUAACCAUUUUUAAGUGUAUCAUUUAUUGGUAUUAAGUACAUUCACAAUGUUGAGCAACCAUUACCAUUAUCCAUUUUAAGACCUUUCUUGUUAUCCCAAACAGAAACUGUACUCACUAAACAAUAACCCCUUAUUUCUCCCCUCCCCUUAGCCUCUGGUUAACUCUAUUCUAUUUUCUGGGUUUAUAAUUUGCCUAUCCUAACUACCUCAUAUAAGUGGAAUCAUAUAAUAGUUGUCCUUUUGUGUCUGGCUUCUUUCACUUAACAUAAUGUUUUCAAAGUUUAUCCAUGUUAUAGCAUGUAGCAGCAUUUCAUUCCUUUUUAAAGCCAUACAAUGUAUAGUGAUUUUUAGUUGCAAAACACUUUUAGUACAUUGUGUUUCUAUUAUAUUAAUGAUAUCUAGCAUAUAUCACUACCAUAUUACCUUUAGUAGAUGCCCAGUAAUGUGUACUAUGAGUGAGCCAUAAUUUCAUUCAGUCAAAACCCAUUGAUAAACAUUUAUUAAGUUCCAAACAGUUUUAUGAUUUCAAGAAAUGUGGUAAUGGACAUAGAGGUUCAUGUCUUGAUGUCCUGGAGCUUUUGCUUUUGAUGGAAGAAUUCUUGGAGUGGCAUGGAAUGGUAUUGUUGAGUCAGAGAUUAUGCAGAAACAUUUAUCAUUUGAAUACAUACAUUGACUAUAAAAACCAUCAACUUCUUCAACAGAUAAUAUUCCUGUAUUUUAUGUAACCAUUUAUGACUAUCUUAAAAAUGAAUGCAAGUAAUGUAAGGGAAUCCACUUAAUGUGAUUUGAGCAAGGAAACAUUCUCACUUUUUUCAUUUCUAGUUCAUGGAAGAAAAUUCCUAUACACAAGUAUUGAAAUAUUUCAAGUCUCUGGAUCACACAUUUCAUCAUUUCAAAAAUAUUACAGAGUACAUCACGGAUGUCAGUCAAGUCUUGUAACAGCAGUGUAGAAAACUAGUAACAUUUAUAGCUAGUUUGUUUUUAAGCUUCAGCAAUGGAUCAAUUCUAUCCAGCCUAAUCUGUAAUUUUAAUUAGAUUAAUUUUUAAAAUAAAACAGAUUAAUUUUUAAUUUAAAAGUAUUUUUAGUUCAUAUUUAUGUACCUGCAUUA